AUACAUAUAUAUCUAAAAGAUGUGUAUGUGCACACACUGAGAAAAGAUCCCGAUGACUCUCCUUGGGGAGUUGCAGACGAGAGCUUUGACUUUCUGGUAGAUUCUAGAAAUGAGAAGUUCCAGGUAACUUCUGAGCGAACGUCGUUCGAGAACACACGCCUUCAGAUUCGGUAAAGUCUGUAAAAUCUGGUCAGUAAAACAAACCUGGUGCAGAAAAAAAAACACCUUUUGACCCUCGUCUCUGUCUCAUUUUGGCUGGCUGAAGGUUAAGUUUGAAGGUUACCAAGGAUUAAGCCUUUUAGGAGUAAAUUUACUUUCAUUGUCUAGUAACAGAAAGGUUUUAAAAUGAUCCUUUUCCCUUGAAUGAUUGUAUUUGUUUCAUUAUAAUAAACAAUAAUUCGGUUUAAAUGUGGAGCAUCAUCAGACAGCUGUGAAGGUAGAAGAAAAGCAAAAAUUAUAAAUCUAAAUGCUGACAUCUGCCACAAGCCUUUUGGAGGUGUUCCCGAUGUUGAGGCCUUUUUGUUUUCUUCCUCCUAGACCACGUUACCGUGAAUUUCCCAGCUGUGAGUGAGCGAGCAAGGCGACGAGGCUCAGCCAAAUCGGACUGAUGGCCAGGCUCUGUUUGCCUUUCGCUGUUAUUUAUUCAUGUGUUUAUUCUUCCUGUCGUUUCCCCCUCUCAUCCAGUGCCUUUCUAUCCUCUCCUGUCUCUCUCGCCGCCGGCCAGCGAGGAAACGUUGUCUCGUUACAUCAGGUGUGAUAGGAGCACACCCCGGCUGUGUGUGCGCGUGCAAAAUGUUUUCAGAAAAAAUGGAAAUUUAUUGUUUAAAAGCCAGAAAUUCUAACUAUAAUAAAUGUGUUCUAAUGUAUUGUAAUGUACAACACUUACAAUCCUAGUUAAAUAUUAAAGAAAUCAGAUUUCUAAACUCCUUAAUAUGGAAGCCCAUUCCUGCCACACUGAUUAGAAAAAAAGAAAUCUUUUAUUAAUGAGGUAGCUAAGUCAUAUUUCUGAGUUAUUUUUGUCAGAGUGGCAGGAAUGGGCUUCCAUAUUAAGGAGUUUAGAAAUCUGAUUUCUUUAAUAUCUAACUAGGAUUGUAAGUGUUGUGUGAGCAAAUCACAAAAUUAGGCUGUCUGUGGAGAACAAAUCAAUAAUUACAAAGUCAGGGUAGCUUCCUGAACAGCCUAACUUUGGAGAAAUGGUUUAUGCUCUGCAGGAUUGAUGAGCUAACAGCUAGGCUGAAUGUGGAUGAAAACAUUUCAGCUACGUAAGGAUUUUUUUAAAUGUCAAAUGAGCAGCUUUGAAACUUAUAAAGAAACCAAGGAAAGCUGGAGUUUUUUAUAUACAAUAUUUUCUUCCACAAAUAUGAACAUAAAAAAGAGGAAUGAAUAAUAGUUUUUCAUUUGGGGCUCGGUCAAGUGACAUUGUGUGUGUGUGUGAUUAAUUUUUUUGUUAUUUUAUUUUUGUCUUUCAGAGCUUCCAUAAUUUCAGAAGGCUGGAGCGGUUCCAACAUGGCAGCAAUGGGAUUUGGCUGGGCUCAGACUAGUCAUUAGCUCAUCAAUCCUCAAUUUCUUCAUUUAUCAGUCUCGUCUUCUUCCGCCUAUCUGGGUCCUGGUCGCGGGGGCAGCAUCCCAACUAGGGAGUUCCAGACCGUCCUCUCUCUGGCCACGUCCACCAGCUCUUCCGGUAGGACCCCAAGGCGUUCCCGGGCCAGUUCAGGGAUCCAACGUUUCUCCAACGUGUCCUGGGUCGACCUGGGGGGCCUCCUGCCGGCAGGACGUGCCUGAAACACCUCCCUGGGGAGGCAUCUAGAAGGCAUCCUAACAAGAUGCCCAAACCACCUUAAUUGACUCCUCUUGAUAAGGAGGAGCAGCGGCUCUACUCCAAGUCCCUCCCGAAUGUCUGAAGUCCUCACCCUAUCCCUAAGGCUCAGCGUCAGCUCCGAAGAUGUUUGCAGCAGCAAACGAAACCGUCAACAAGAUGAAAGUGUCAGGAUAUAAAUCCAGGAGUGACCCGGUCCAAGAAGGUACAAAAGACACAAAUCGUACAAGACAAGUUCCUGGACUCCAGCCAGUGUGCUUCAAACCAACCCACCAAUCAAGACUGGCCCGUUGAGGACUCGACCAAUCAGAUGUGACCUCACCAAUGGACAUUACUGCAGUGUUAGUUAGGUGUCUACAAACCUUCUGAUUUUGCAAUCCAGUUCCUAACAAGUGUUAUGUAACUGAAUGAAAUGACUGUUUUCCACCUAAAAGUCAUUUCCCCCCUCUCCUCAGCAAGGUCUCGUGCAUCUGCUUCUAAACCUGUUUUUCUUUCCAGCACAAGAGAAGAACGAAGACAAAGGACUCUUUCUUUUUACUAAAUCAAAGAACUCUAUUUUUAAUAAGCUAAUCAAAGUUUUUGUCAAAAAUAAAAUUUGUGAAAUGAAAAUAUUAAUUACUUGAUAUUAUAAUCCUACAGAAUAUAAUAAGUAAUAUAACUUUAAAUGUUUCCACUAGAGACUGAUCACACGAAAGGUUAAGGUACAUCACACAUUGCUUUUACUGAUCCAAUCAGAAUCUUCCAGAUCUGACGGAGGCGUGGUUUUGGUGGUGUUUGGUAAAUCUGUCCUCUUUUCAUUCGACCAUAAAACUAUGCCCGCGUCAUCUUUAACUCGAGUUCAAAGCUUUCUAGAGAAGUUGUCGGAGUGGCCAAUCCAUAACUUUCCUCUUCAGCCGAAAAAAACAACGACAAGCUGGAUAAAAUCUGCUGCUGUAACAACUGCUGCAACGGUUCCUUUCAGAAUAAAAGCUGAACCAUCACGACCCCGUUUUGGGUCUUGUUAGAUGCCAAUAAAACUGUUGUGACCCGGAAGCAUCUCAAAGACUGGACUGGUUGGCGACCGCGACUGUUCUACAGGCUUUAGCUCCAGAAAGGUCCAAGCUGGACCUCUACACCUCCUGAUCUAGACGGGGACUUCCGCCAAGGGUGCGUAGACCGACAGAAUGGCGUCUCAAUGUGUUUAUGAACCUCCUAACCAAAGCUUAGCGCGAAAACAUCACCUUCACUCCCAUCAGAACUAAUCGUUUCCCCGGAUUUGCUGGUUCUGAACAACAUUCCACACUACACCAUUCUCUGUCUCACUUCACCUUAGUUACACCAUACGUUUAGCUUUUAAAGUUAGUCUAGUUUUAAUUUGUUUAGUAAUAAAUCUUUAAACUUUUAAAACUUGACUCUCCUUUGUCUCUGAGUUAAUACGAAGUGUUACAUAAUCCCUGCAAUAAAAAGUUCUGAUCUUCUGGUUUAAGUUGUCCACAGGUCCAUAAGAUUGAUUUCAUAGUUUUUAUGGAAUCUCAUAUUUUAUGGUUCAUUAAAUAAUAUGUAAAUUUAAUUGUUACAGUUAGUACGUUGUUUAGAGACCGCAAAUGCUUUGUUAUGUGGUAUGCCCGAAACACACUUUGUGUGUUUCUGACCGUCCUACACAAAUAUCGUGACCAGCCCUGUCACCGCUUAUUGAGCACUUAAGACCCCCGGCUGACAUCGAACAAUGAGAACACACCCAGGGCAACGGUGGAAGCUACAUCAGGAUCAUGUGGACCACUCCUUAUUGGAGUUUGGUUGGCUUUUAGUGACGUUAGCUAUUGCUAGGAGGUCCUAAUUGUGUUACUCAGCUUAACUUCACUAUUGUUGUUGAGCCUUAAUUUUCCCACAUCUGGUGAUUCUAAAAUGUUCCUCUUCUUCUUGCCUGAGCCGGGUCAAAGCACGGCGUUAUGGGUAUUGAUGAUCUUUGCUCUACAGCUGGUCUCAUUUUAACCAUAAUGCCAACAUCAGCCAAUAUUUGUUUUUUCUGGUUCCAAGUUUGAGAUCAAAUAAAAAAAUGUCCCCUAACUCCUGAAAAAGUGUUGUGUCUGGAUUUUUUCAUUAUUCUCAAAUGUAAGUUCUCCCUUAAGACAGAUAAUUAUUUAGAACCGUAUACAAAACUGACCCUGACCUAUCCGUUCAGGAAAACUUUUUAUGCAAUGAUCAGAUGAAACUUACAAAUC